AGGCUAUAUUAGGCUGUGUGCCCGGGCAGCAAAUUUUCCAGCUUCUUGCCUCGGUAUCUCCAUGCCCAUCUCACUAUGUUGGGCUUACUUCUCACUCCCACAAUGGAAUGUAGUAGAAUAAACAAGAUAAGCACUCGAAAAUUCCAUGUGCAAUGUGCUCUUCACGAGUUUAAGGCAAAAUAUCGUGAAAACCUAUUAUGAUAUUUUUGCACCUGCACAGUGAAACAAUCAUCCACCUUUUAUGGCUGUUGUCCCAUAGAUUUUUGAUGAAAAGAUGCUUGAGUUUAACCUUGUAUCUUUUUCUGAGUCAAAUACUGGAUUAUUAUAUUGGAGCACUAGCAUUGUGGAUGAUGUUGAAGCUCUAGCAUCCUUGUCUUCCUCAUUUUGUGCUUGUUGCUUUAUUGAAUCUUUCUUUGUGUAUGUAGAGCUUUUAUGAUUUGGUUUGACAGAUUUGAAAUAUCGGAUAUAUUGAUUUAAUUAAUGUCAUAUAUUACCCGGUACAGGUUGGAUUCACAAAUGAGGGAAAGGUACUAGCUCUGGACCUUGAGAUAUAUAACAAUGCUGGAAAUUCACUUGAUCUCUCUCUUGCUAUCCUUGAACGCGCAAUGUUUCAUUCAGACAAUGUUUAUGAGAUACCAAAUGGCCGCAUAAAUGGCAAAGUUUGCUUCACCAAUCUUCCAAACAAUACUGCUUUCCGUGGAUUCGGUGGCCCACAAGGGAUGCUGAUUGCUGAAAAUUGGAUUCAGAGGAUAGCCAUGGAGCUCGAGAAGAACCCGGAGGAGAUCAGGGAAAUAAACUUCCAAAGUGAAGGAUCAAUAUUGCACUAUGGCCAAAUACUUGAGCAUUGUACAUUACCCGAGUUGUGGAAUCAACUGAAAUUAUCAUGCGACUUCCAUAGAGCACGUGCUGAGGUUGAUGACUUUAAUGUUCAUAAUCCAUACCUAUUAAAAAGUGGGGAGUUCGGUUACUGUAGCUUAGUAACAGUGUAUUGACAAUUCUGCCCUCCCAACUUCCUCUAACUACUGUCUGGCCGUUAACCCACACGUGGCUGCUUCAUCACCUGGAAGUUCCACGUCACCUUCACCAUCUCCAUUUCCAUUCCUCUGUUUGCUUCUGCCUUCGCCAUCUUCAUUUCCCUUCUCUAACUUCCUGGUGCCUGCGAUUCGCCAUCGUCACCUGCCAAAAAUCGCCGGCCAAUCACCCCUACCAUCAUUCUCACAUAUUUCCUCUGUCAAACCAAAAAAAGGGCAGCGAUUCGCACAUAUUUCUCGUGUCAAACAAAACAAAAGAACAGCGAAAAUUAAACACAACCAUGGAUUCUGCCAUGCUCAGCUGUUCUCGGAUAAAUAAUUGCAAAGUUAGAUAUUUUGAAGCCAGUUCUGGAUGUGAAUACAAUCGAAAAAAGGUACUUCCAUGAUUUCCUGCUGCCUACUAAAAAUGGAAGACAUAUCAAGUAACCUGCUGUGAUUUUUUUAUUUUAUCACGUCAAGAUAAAAUACUCAAUUUGUUGUAAAAAAUCAGCAAACCUUGAACUUUUCUUUAUUUUCGUUUGAUUUUGUGUUUGAUUUCUAGAUGUUGAAGCAUGGUGGACGCUUUAGGUAAUGUGCUGUAAGUUUCUUUCUUAACUUGGAGAACACAAAUCUGUAACUUGUUUGGCUCUUGAUAUGAUUCUUCAUUUCUUCACCCUGGUUGUCAACUGCACACUGCUAACAAGUUGAUAAUUACUACUACCAAGAGAUUAUAUGUACCAACUACCAAACUGUUUAUAUCCCUGUCUAACACACCAGCAUAAACCUGAAAAAACACGAAAUGUAUCGAGGUUUAGAUCUCAAAUCCCUGGUGUAAUUAAGCUGUACUGUAGACUACAUGUUUAGUGUGUGAAACUGUGAAU